CAGUCGCGGUAAUACGAAGGGGGCUAGCGUUGCUCGGAAUGACUGGGCGUAAAGGGCGCGUAGGCGGCGAUCAAAGUCAGGCGUGAAAUUCCUGGGCUCAACCUGGUGGCUGCGCUUGAUACUUGGUUGCUUGAGUGGGGAAGAGGGUCGUGGAAUUCCCAGUGUAGAGGUGAAAUUCGUAGAUACUGGGAAGAACACCGGUGGCGAAGGCGGCGACCUGGUCCUUGACUGACGCUGAGGCGCGAAAGCGCGGGGAGCAAACAGGAUUAGAUACCCCAGUAGUCCCUGUCUCUUAUACACA
rnacentral:rRNA from 1 species